rnacentral:rRNA from 1 species
UACGGAGGGUGCGAGCGUUCAUCGGAAUUACUGGCGUAAAGGGCGCGUAGGUGGUUGAUUAAGUUAUCUGUGAAAUUCCUGGGCUUAACCUGGGACGGUCAGAUAAUACUGGUUGACUCGAGUAUGGGAGAGGGUAGUGGAAUUUCCGGUGUAGCGGUGAAAUGCGUAGAGAUCGGAAGGAACACCAGUGGCGAAGGCGGCUACCUGGCCUAAUACUGACACUGAGGCACGAAAGCGUGGGGAGCAAACAGG